CCUACGGGAGGCAGCAGUGGGGAAUAUUGGACAAUGGGGGCAACCCCGAUCCAGCCAUGCCGCGUGUGUGAAGAAGGCCCUCGGGUUGUAAAGCACUUUCAGUGAGGAAGAACGCCUGGUGGUUAAUACCCAUCAGGAAAGACAUCACUCACAGAAGAAGCACCGGCUAACUCCGUGCCAGCAGCCGCGGUAAUACGGAGGGUGCGAGCGUUAAUCGGAAUUACUGGGCGUAAAGCGCGCGUAGGUGGCUUGAUAAGCCGGUUGUGAAAGCCCCGGGCUCAACCUGGGAACGGCAUCCGGAACUGUCAAGCUAGAGUGCAGGAGAGGAAGGUAGAAUUCCCGGUGUAGCGGUGAAAUGCGUAGAGAUCGGGAGGAAUACCAGUGGCGAAGGCGGCCUUCUGGACUGACACUGACACUGAGGUGCGAAAGCGUGGGUAGCAAACAGGAUUAGAUACCCCGGUAGUC
rnacentral:rRNA from 1 species